rnacentral:rRNA from 1 species
GACGAACGCUGGCGGCGUGCUUAACACAUGCAAGUCGAACGGAAAGGCCCUGCUUUUGUGGGGUGCUCGAGUGGCGAACGGGUGAGUAACACGUGAGUAACCUGCCCUUGACUUUGGGAUAACUUCAGGAAACUGGGGCUAAUACCGGAUAGGAGCUCCUGCUGCAUGGUGGGGGUUGGAAAGUUUCGGCGGUUGGGGAUGGACUCGCGGCUUAUCAGCUUGUUGGUGGGGUAGUGGCUUACCAAGGCUUUGACGGGUAGCCGGCCUGAGAGGGUGACCGGCCACAAUGGGACUGAGAUACCGCCCAGACUCCUACGGGAGGCAGGAGUGGGGAAUAUUGCACAAUGGGCGGAAGCCUGAUGCAGCAACGCCGCGUGCGGGAUGACGGCCUUCGGGUUGGAAACCGCUUUCGCCUGUGACGAAGCGUGAGUGACGGUAAUGGGUAAAGAAGCACCGGCUAACUACGUG